CUAGAUAUGGAUACCACUAAUGAAUACAAAGAUGUAAGUAAGUAUUGGCCUGGGAUUUCUCUAAAUUCACAGAGAUGAUAAAAGUAUUCUCAAUAUAUAUUAGACUUCCAAAGGUGUAAAUCAACGGAUAUACAAAUGUGUAAAAAGACAUUAUGAAUAACAAAGAAACACAAUUUAAAAUCAAUAACAAAGAAACACAAUUUAAAAAUGACUAUUUCUUUACUUUUGGUUUUUAAAAAGUUUUACAUUUAUGAGAGUGUGAAAUAUACAAAAUGACGAUGCAGGCAGUAAAAAGCCUCUAUUAUACACAAUACAUGCUGAGAUCAUCUUGACACAUUCAUCCAUUACACUCAAACAACAUACAAUUAUUGACAUUUGUCACAAUGUGAAUUAAAUAAUUUGGUGAAAAUUUAUAAGUACAAUGGUAUGAAAAUAUGAAUUCCUAAUUUUUACAUAUUUCAUGAAUUUAAGUAAAUAAAUAAUAUAAAAUGUUCUAAUUUUAAAUAAUCUAUCGUAGAAAAUAAAGACAUUUAUUAACUGAAGGAGAUACCAAUGUACUUGAUUAGAUGUACUUUAUUUAAUAGCAAUGCAUUAAUGUUUCAAUGUAUUUACACAACUACUGGUAUGCCUCGUGUACAAACAUUGUGUUACUAACUGUUAUCAAAUGAUCACGGAUUAUGUUGUAUGAGGAUUGUAAACAUGAAUAAGAUUUUACAUAUAACAAACAUUCAACCUAUGCAUUAGGAUUUGGAUAUUUUAUAUGCCAUAAAGUUAUGAAAACAUACAUUCAUAUGAAAAAAAUAACUUUUAUGUUAUGGAUUGUACUGAAACUUUUCAAUUGAACUUUAACCUUUGUCUAUCAAGUGCUAUAUUUAUUCUUACUAUUUACAUUCAUGACAGUUGUUAUUAAAUUUCUGCAAAGAAUUUUUAAAUGGUAUCCCCUCUCACUGAGAAAUACUUAUAUUAAGUUAUCAAACCUAUAUAAUUUAUAUUUUAUUAUACUGGUAAUUAAAAAUUCUACCUACUAACAUCUGCUUAAUAUAAAAUACAACAAACCAUCAAAUACUAUAACAACAAAAGUACUAUACAUAACAAAACUAUCAUUUUCAUAUUGCCUCCUCUUACAGGUAGGAUCUUUAAGUUUGGAGGUAAAAAAACAAACCAACAAAAUAUAAUUCAGAAUGAAACAAGAACUUAAGGUGAUGUUGGAACUUUAUAAAUACUCUUAACCAUCUUUUGGUACAAAUAAAAAAACAUUAAAAACUGAAUUGCAGUUUACUAAUUAUGUGACUGGCAAGUUUUAAAAUUUUAACUAUACCACAAAACAAAAACAAAAACACAUAUAUUGCUGUAAAAGGUGUGUGCUUAUAAAGGAGUAUGGAUAAUAUUGCACAUACAAAUGCCUAAACUCUCAUCAAAAUCAUUGGAACAGUUAUAUUUCUGGGACUUGUGAAUAAUAUUGAUUCAACAGACAUAUGCUUUUAUAUUUGAGAUUGACCACCUAUUAAAUAGGUUGUGGUCAGUUUCUUUUCUCAAUAAUAUAUCUGAAAUACUCGUAUAAAAUAUAAAAAGAUCUAACUUCCAGUAGCAAAGAUUUCAUGCACAUUAAGUAUGAAAAUAUAAAAUCAUCUUUUGACAAUGUUGAAUGGUAUUUGAUUAUCUAGACCUAAUAAUUGUCAUACCCUAUACUAUUUUAAUGAGAACUUGACAAUGUUUAAAAUAGCUAUCUAAUAGGAUUAUGAUGAAGACAUGUAUUUAAAACAUAUAAAAGGAAUCAAAACUAUGUUUCUAUUUAAAAUUGUACAUUAUAAAUACAAAAUGAUAUAGAGUACAACAGUAGGAAUGGAUAAGACUAAUUUAUAUAUAUAUAUAUAUAUAUAUAUA
rnacentral:lncRNA from 1 species